CAGUCAGCUCAAAGGCGUCACCCUCAGCGGACGGUACAGCCUGCAAGAUCGCUGCGUUCUCAAUACCCUCUGCAGAAUCACAAGACCGGAUAGAAAGUAACAAACUCCUAAUCACCCAGGCGUGGACAGGCUGACUUCUGGAUCCUCAGGCUCAAGCGAGGGUAACUCUCCCGCUGUGGUCCCCACCAACCCUGUGACUGCUGCCUG